CCGGCUCCGGUUCACGCUCCGCCCACAUGGGGGAACGACCCGGCGGCC
rnacentral:ncRNA from 1 species